CCUGCGUCUGAAAUAACUCACUGGAGGGCCAGAGAGCUACUUCCCAAACAGAACCUCUACACGAGUAGAGCUUCUUAAGGUUUGGUGGUAGGAGCAGCAGAAGAGCUGUAAGCAGUGGUCAGGAGCCAUUCAUUUGCACGCAGUAACCUGAGUUUCUUUGAAUGUUGCUCUCUUCUCUAAUCUCCUAAAAGUGAAAGUCUCUCAGUCGUGUCCAACUCUUUCGAUCCCAUGGACUAUAUAGUCCAUGGAAUUCUCUCAGCCAGAAUACUGGAGUGGGUAGCCUUUCCUUCUGCAGGAUCUUCCCAACCCAGGGAUCGAAUCCAGGUCUCCCGCACUGCAGGCAAAUUCUUUACCAGCUGAGCCACAAGGGAAGCCCAAGAAUACUGGAGUGGGUAACCUAUCCCUUCUCCAGCGGAUCUUCCUGACCUAGGAAUUGAACUGGGGUCUCCUGUGUUGCAGGCAGAUUCUUUACCAACUGACCUAAUCUCCUAAAGAUGCUGGCACUCAGGCUGUUUUGAGGACAGUGGAUUCCCUCAUCUAAAGUAUACACCCGUGACGCCAUCCUGGCACAUGCAGGUGGGCAGACCAACCUUGUUCUGGUCCUGCAGGUAGAGCCAGCCGCUGAAGGGCUGUAGCGGGAGGUCGAGGACAGACAGCUUCAGCUCCACCACCCCGUGCUCACAUUCCUCUCAUCUUCAUCGAUGCCAAACACCGAAAACCGCAGGCUCUUCUCCUCCAGGGCUGCGGGGUCCAACGGGAUGGAGAACUUCUCAUCGAAGAAGAUGGAGUAGGCAUUCCUCUGGAUCUGCAGAGAGGAAGGGUGGUGGAAGGAGGUCUGAUGCUGGGGAAGAGGCGGCAGAAGAUGCCAGAGGGGCCAUGGUAGGGAGAGAGCACUGGAUGGGGAGUCCGGAGACCUGGGCUACCAUCAGGCUCUGUUGACCCCACACUCAUUGUCAAUCCUUUCUUUGGUGGCUCAGCCCUGAUGAUAUAAAAGCCCCUGUCUUCCUCUCAGAGGUGGGCAUCUCGUGGGCUGGCAUUCAAAGCUUGACAAGCUGACCCCAACUAAUUCCCUCCUCAGUGCCCAUGGCUCCACAGAACCCUUGCCAAGUGCCAGCUGAGAUGGCCAUCUUUUGGCACAUGUUCAAGUCCAGCCCUGGGGCCAGGCAUACAGUGAGGAGGGAUAACUGUGAAGCUGAGAGCCUUAGAUGUCCAGCCCCAUGGG
rnacentral:lncRNA from 1 species